rnacentral:lncRNA from 1 species
GAAAAUCAUGUCUAAGCUUGCAGAUCCCUUGUUUAACACGCAAAUUUUCUUGUGUGUCUCGUCCAAUUCAUACUCCAAGUUUCUGUUUUUCUCUUUCUCCAAUGCAAGAGCUUCCCUAUGAUAAAUGAACUUGUACUCCAAUGCAUGUUUUUUCCAUGAAAGAUAGUUUACUUAAACAAUCAUGAUGAACAUGGUCCAACUUCAGAACAGUCCCAGUUUCGUCUAACAACUUCGUAUAGGUAGAGCCAAUGCUUCUUCUUUCUUGUGUUUCAAA